rnacentral:snRNA from 12 species
AAAAAGGGCGUUUAUCAUAAUUGUUGUUGGAAAAUUCUGAUACUGUUACGGAAUCGGUAUCAAGAGAUUUUAGAUGCAUUAUUUUUGAAAUUAGAACUGCAGAUGAUCCAUGCUUUCGGCGUCCCA